UUUUAUCGAUAUGUCUCUCCUGAAUGAAUUGGCUUAAUGCCUUAUUUCCUUCCUCGGCUAUCAUCAGGGAUGGAGCUACCUUAGGAUGGAGGGGGCCAUGGCCCCCCCAAGAUUUUUUGGGUCAUGCAAUAGAAUAUCAAGUGGGCUAAUGACUAUGGUGAAGAUAAACAUUAGCUAAUGACUAUUGGGCUAAAUUCAUUAGAAUACCAAGUGGGUCUUACAAAAAAUAGAAUAGUCCAAAAAAUAGUAUAACUAAUGACUAUUGUGAAGAUAAUUUCAAGAGUAGAUAUUUUCCCAUUUUCCUAUUUAGUAUAAUAGAUGGAUUUCGUGAUUUGAAAGAACGUUAGGUGUAAUUCUGACGAAGCUUUGACAUGUUCUAAAAGACUUUUUUUUUGCUAUGUUUUUGUUGUCUUUGUCAAAGAAAAUUACAUUACUACAUUAUUUUUGUUUUAGUAAAAAUAUAUUUUGUAAUUGUGGAACUUUACUUUUUAGUGAUGAAUAUAUAUUAUGUUGUUAAAAAAUAUUUUGGCCCCCCCAAUAUCGAAUCCUGGCUCCGUCCCUGGCUAUCAUAGCCUUCUCUUAGAUAAUCCCGAACGAGUCAAUAUGAAACACCGAUAACUUCUCGUAGAGCGAAGGCUUCAAACCUUGCUCAAAUCUUUGCGCCUUUCUCUCAUCAGUGUCCACUUGAUGUGAAGCAAAUCUCGUUAGUUCGUUGAACUUGACAGCAUACUAGAGUACCAACAUGUCCCCUUGUUUCAACUCUAAAAAUUUCAUUUCCAUCCCACUCCGCAUAUUCUUGGGAAAGUAGUUCUCGAAGAACAACUCCUUAAACCGUUCCAAUGCUACUACACCCUCUCCAGCCCUGUUCUGGUUGGUCUCCCACCAGAAGUUAGCCGCACCCUUUAACAUAUAGGUAGCAAAAGUCGUCUUUUGCUCCUCUUCUACUUUUACCAUAACGAAUGUCUUUUCAAUCUCUUUAAUCCAUGAUUGAGCAUCUAUAGGCUCAGUGUUCCCCUUAAACUCAGGCGGUCCCACGCUCCUAGCUAAAAACCUUAAAACUUGUCACUGACACAUCUUAAAGGAUUAAUAUUUACUCCUGCAGUUAUAGCCCCUAGUAGAAGAUCUAAAAAUUGCUGCAUAGUGUUUUCUUGAUCUCUAUUCUCAUUCUCUGUCUCUUCUUGAUCUUUUCUCAGAGGCAUAUUUCUAUUUAAUAAAAUAUAAUAUUUUCUCAUCAUUCAUUUUAAAGCAUUAUUAUUAAUGCUAAAAAAUUAUUUAUCACAAAGCACAUAUUAAUACACAUUUAUAUUAACAUGUAUCUCAUAGUACACCUUAUAUACUUUUCAUUUUUUAGCUUUUUGCUAUUUCAUACGUAAUCCUUUAUUACUUCGUAAGGUCCUAUAAUUCUCAGACUUAAUUUUUCAUUCUUACACCUUUUGACCCUCUCAUGAGUCUUCUCUAGUUCGACACUAUCUGUGUCUAUUCUUCUUUGACAUCACUUAUGUUUAUUCUAUUUUGACAUCUCCUAUGUCUUUUUUGUUAUGAAACCACCUGUGUCUGUUUUAUGGUAACACCACCAGUGUUUGUUCUUAUUAUAUAUGACACCACUAGUGUCUAGUUUAACACCACCUAUAUAUGUUUAUCUUAUUUUGACACCACCAGUGCCAAUUUUAUUAUAACACUACCAAUGUCUAUUUUGUUUUUCUUAUGAUAGCACCAAUGUUUGUUCUUACUUUAACAUCCCCUAUGUCUGCUUAAUACCCUUAAUAUUAGAUCUGG
rnacentral:lncRNA from 1 species